rnacentral:lncRNA from 1 species
AAUGACUGAUUCUACUCUUAACGUUUCGUGGGAUUAAGAAAAUGCAAUCACUAGACUUAUGAUCAGCAGUAUUAAGCCUUACAUUGGGUUUUCAUCUCUAUACGUCAACAAAAAGCAAAUUUGGAAGUAUCUUAAACAUAUAUACUUUGGAAUUGGGAAUGUUACUCUAAUGAAUGAGAGGUGUAAACAAUAUUUUGGGUGUGAGAAAGUAGGAAUAUGCAUCAACCUCUCUCUCUCUUGACUUUAAGGUUAUGGAAAAAUAACGGGAAGACAUUGAUGUUGUUAAAUUUUUUUAUUGAUCUUCCACUAGAGUUUGAAGUUGUCUGGACACAGAUAUUAGGUGAAAAAGAACUCCCCAAUCUUCAAGAGAUAUUAUUUCGUAUUCAGCAUUCUACUCUCUCCGAUAGUACACCUAGUAGAGAUCGUUUUGCUUUUAUUGCUUGGGAUGGUUCAUUCAGGAGUAGAUGUAGCGGUCGAAGUGGACGUGGUGUUAACUCUCGGGGUGGACGAGACACUAGAAGCAGUGGUCGUUUGGGAAUUCAUAAACCUAAAAAAUGCACUCAAUGUGGUCAUACAUGUCACUCCGUUGAUCAUUGUCAGGACUUACAUGGCAAACUAUUUGGUUCUGCCAAUCAGGUCUCAUCUAAUGAAGACCAUCACCUUGUAUUUGGACCGAUGACUAACUCUAGCUCAAUACAAG